AACGAACGCUGACGGCGUGCCUAACACAUGCAAGUCGAACGAGAAAGUCCCGGCUUGCCGGGAUGAGUAGAGUGGCGCACGGGUGAGUAACGCGUGGGUAAUCUGCCUUUAAGUUUGGGAUAACACUGCGAAAGCGGUGCUAAUACCGGAUAUGCUCACAGUUUGAGAUGUCUGUGGGAAAAGGUGGCCUCUGACAUAAGCUACCGCUUGAAGGUGAGCCCGCGUACCAUUAGCUGGUUGGUGGGGUAAUGGCCUACCAAGGCUACGAUGGUUAGCUGGCCUGAGAGGGCGGCCAGCCACACUGGAACUGAGACACGGUCCAGACUCCUACGGGAGGCAGCAGUGGGGAAUAUUGCGCAAUGGGGGAAACCCUGACGCAGCGACGCCGUGUGAGUGAUGAAGGCUUUCGGGUCGUAAAGCUCUGUCGGAUGGGACGAAUAAAGACUGUGUGAAUAAUGCAGUCAGAUGACGGUACCGUCGAAGGAAGCACCGGCUAGCUCCGUGCCAGCAGCCGCGGUAAUACGGAGGGUGCAAGCGUUGUUCGGAAUUAUUGGGCGUAAAGAACGUGUAGGCGGGCCUGUGUGUCAAAUGUGAAAGCCCUCGGCUCAACCGAGGAAGUGCAUCUGAAACUGCUGGUCUUGAGUACGAGAGAGGAGAGUGGAAUUCCCAGUGUAGAGGUGAAAUUCAUAGAUAUUGGGAAGAACACCGGCGGCGAAAGCGGCUCUCUGGCUCGAUACUGACGCUGAGACGUGAAAGCGUGGGUAGCAAACAGGAUUAGAUACCCUGGUAGUCCA
rnacentral:rRNA from 1 species